rnacentral:rRNA from 1 species
GACGAACGCUGGCGGCGUGCUUAACACAUGCAAGUCGAACGGAAAGGCCCUGCUUUUGUGGGGUGCUCGAGUGGCGAACGGGUGAGUAACACGUGAGUAACCUGCCCUUGACUUUGGGAUAACUUCAGGAAACUGGGGCUAAUACCGGAUAGGAUCUCCUGCUGCAUGGUGGGGGUUGGAAAGUUUCGGCGGUUGGGGAUGGACUCGCGGCUUAUCAGCUUGUUGGUGGGGUAGUGGCUUACCAAGGCUUUGACGGGUAGCCGGCCUGAGAGGGUGACCGGCCAAAUUGGGACUGAGAUACGGCACAGACUCCAACGGGAGGCAGCAGUGGGGAAUAUUGCACAAUGGGCGGAAGCAUGAUGCAGCAACGCCGCGUGCGGGAUGACGGCCUUCGGGUUGUAAACCGCUUUCGCCUGUGACGAAGCGUGAGUGACGGUAAUGGGUAAAGAAGCACCGGCUAACUACGUG